GACGAACGCUGGCGGCGUGCUUAACACAUGCAAGUCGAACGGAAAGGCCCUGCUUUUGUGGGGUGCUCGAGUGGCGAACGGGUGAGUAACACGUGAGUAACCUGCCCUUGACUUUGGGAUAACUUCAGGAAACUGGGGCUAAUACCGGAUAGGAGCUCCUGCUGCAUGGUGGGGGUUGGAAAGUUUCGGCGGUUGGGGAUGGACUCGCGGCUUAUCAGCUUGUUGGUGGGGUAGUGGCUUACCAAGGCUUUGACGGGUAGCCGGCCUGAGAGGGUGACCGGCCACAUUGGGAGUGAGAUGCGGCCCAGACUCCUACGGGAGGCAGCAGUGGGGAAUAUUGCACAAUGGGCGGAAGCCUGAUGCAGCAACGCCGCGUGCGGGAUGACGGCCUUCGGGUGGUAAACCGCUUUAGCGUGUGACGAAGCGUGAGUGACGGUAAUGGGUGAAGAAGCACCGGCUAACUACGU
rnacentral:rRNA from 1 species